UGACCAAAACCUAAAUUGUAGCAGACAAAACACAGUCUUUUAUCAUGAAACAACAUAAACCAGAGCAGAAAUUUAAGGUUCUUCUCUUUUGAAAACUCAGAAUGUCUUUCAAAUAUCUUAUCCAUGUGUAACACAUUCUGGAAAUUUUAACCCAAUUUCAUAAUGAGUGUAGACUUGAGAACAGACAUAGUUUAAAGACCAGACAUAUUUAUAAGUUAAUUAGAUCUAUGCCUCUCAGGGAUAUAGCAGUGUUCUUAUUCUACAUAUACAUGAAGAAUUUAUAUUUUCACACCAGUAGGAAGUAUACCUACAUUAAGCCUUGGCAACAUGGCCAAACUCAUCUCUACAAAAUAUCAAAAAUUAGCCGGGCAUGGCGGCUCAUACUUGUAUUCCCAGCUACUCAGCAGGCUGAGGUGAGAGGAUCUCUUGAGCCAGGGGAGGUUGAGGCUGCAGAAAGCCGUGAUUGUACCACUGCACUUCAACUUGGGUGACAGAGUGAGACCCUGUCUCAGAAGAAGAAGAAAGAGGAAAGAAGAAAGAAGGAAGAAGAAGAAAAGAAGUAUACCUGCAUUAUUAUAUAGAUCAGAUUUCCAAAGUCAAGUGCUUGGGGCUAGGAAAGAAGGUAUAUGCAUGAGUCGACUCUCCGUCUAUUUUCAGAACAAGCUGCAAUGAGGGCCUGAUAGUCAAAAUUACUUGGAGGAAAAUCACAGCUCUUCUGCCCUAGAAAGUCUGCUGAGUCUCACCAGGAGAAUCUCACAGGGAGGCUGCCACCAAUUCUCUCUGCAAGGACUGUGAAACUCAGGGUCCCGGAACCUGAGGAGAUCGAGGGACAACUGUAUAUCAGCCUGCUGAGAAAUGUUUUGCAGGAUUCAUGAUUGGGAUCUUCUUACUAAGCCUUUCUUGAGGGAGUGUCUCAGACUCAACCAGCCUCAAUUUUCCCAUAAUCCUUCUUCAUUGCCUUCCUAGAUUGCUACUCCGCAUCUCAGCUGACCCCAUUCAAACAAACUCCAAUAGUGUCUCCAAUCGCGUGCUGUGUUAAAUUUUAACUUUAUAACCAACCAUCAUUUGCUACUUCCAUCUAACCAAGCCAGUUUCCUUAUGAUGCACACACAUGUGUUUAGCUCACAAUUUGUUCUACAUGCUUGCUUAUUUAUUCAUUCAGCAAGUAUUUAUUGAGCCCCUACUGUGCACUAGCUGCUGUCUCAGGUGCUGGGGAGACAGGAAGAUCAAAAUAAAACCCCUGCCUUCAAGUGCCUUAUUGUUUAAGGGUCAACAGAAUAAACACAUAAGUGAAUAUAUAUCAUGUGAGGUGGUAAAAAGGGCUGGGCAGAAAAUAAAUGUUGGAAAAGGAUGGAAAGUACUGGAGGGGUGGUGUGAUUUUAGGCUGGAGCGUCAGGAAAAGCAGAGAAGAAAUGACUGUUACAGAUGGAAGUGAGUGGAAUGCUCCAAGCAGAGGGAACAGCAAGUGAAAGCGCCCUGUGGUAGAAGCAUAUUUGGCACAUGUGAGGGACUGCAUAAAGGCCAGUGUGGCUGCAUGGGGGUUUGGGAGAUGUAGGGACAAGGUCAGAGAGGGAGCCAAUGUCAGCAUCAUUGCUGUUAGGACUGGGUGGGACCCCAAAAGAAGUAUUAAAUAGUACCAUCUAGUUUUUGUUCUUGAGGAGGUCACGUGUUAAUAUACUGAUUGUUUGAGGUACAACAGAGUCAAAAAGGGGAUAAUUUAUCGAGGUACAAGCCUAGGAUAUGGGUUGCUCCUGUUGCCCCUAAGUCUACCAUGCCUGCACAGAUCCUGCUAGUUCUUUCUUUUUUUUUUUUUGAGACGGAGUCUCGCUCUGUCGCCCAGGCUGGAGUGCAGUGGCGCGAUGGCGGCUCACUGCAAGCUCCGCCUUCCGGGUUCACGCCAUUCUCCUGCUUCAGCCUCCCAAGUAGCUGGGACUACAGGCGCCCGCCACCACGCCCGGCUAAUUUUUUUGUAUUUUUAGUAGAGAUGGGGUUUCACCAUGUUAGCCAGGAUGGUCUCGAUCUCCUGACCUCAUGAUCCACCCACCUUGGCCUCCCAAAGUGCUGGGAUUACAGGCGUGAGCUACUGCGCCCGGCCAGAUCCUGCUAGUUCUUAUUCCAUUUGUAGAAUUUCUCUGGCACUCAGCAGAGGAUGAUACCGUAUUGCAUGACAAAAUGCCUUCAUUUUUUUUUUUCCAAAUAUAGUUUACUUUACAACCA